AGAGUUUGAUCCUGGCUCAGGAUGAACGCUGGCGGCGUGCUUAACACAUGCAAGUCGAACGAUUGAAGCUGGAGCUUGCUCUGGCCGAUUUAGUGGCGGACGGGUGAGUAACGCGUGGGUAACCUACCUCAUACAGGGGGAUAGCAGUUGGAAACGACUGGUAAAACCGCAUAAGCGCACGGUGUCGCAUGACACAGUGUGAAAACACUCCGGUGGUAUGAGAUGGACCCGCGUCUGAUUAGCUAGUUGGUGAGGUAACGGCCCACCAAGGCGACGAUCAGUAGCCGGCCUGAGAGGGUGAACGGCCACAUUGGGACUGAGACACGGCCCAAACUCCUACGGGAGGCAGCAGUGGGGAAUAUUGCACAAUGGGGGAAACCCUGAUGCAGCGACGCCGCGUGAGCGAUGAAGUAUUUCGGUAUGUAAAGCUCUAUCAGCAGGGAAGAAAAUGACGGUACCUGACUAAGAAGCACCGGCUAAAUACGUGCCAGCAGCCGCGGUAAUACGUAUGGUGCAAGCGUUAUCCGGAUUUACUGGGUGUAAAGGGAGCGUAGACGGAGUGGCAAGUCUGAUGUGAAAACCCGGGGCUCAACCCCGGGACUGCAUUGGAAACUGCCAGUCUUGAGUGCCGGAGAGGUAAGCGGAAUUCCUAGUGUAGCGGUGAAAUGCGUAGAUAUUAGGAGGAACACCAGUGGCGAAGGCGGAUUGCUGGACGACAACUGACGGUGAGGCGCGAAAGCGUGGGGAGCAAACAGGAUUAGAUACCCUGGUAGUCCACGCUGUAAACGAUGAAAACUAGGUGUGCGGGGACUGACCCCCUGCGUGCCGCAGCUAACGCAAUA
rnacentral:rRNA from 1 species